GGGGGCGUAGCUCAGCUGGUUAGAGCGUCUGCCUGUCACGCAGAAGGUCGCGGGUUCGAGUCCCGUCGCUCCCGCCA
rnacentral:tRNA from 1 species